rnacentral:rRNA from 1 species
GAUGAACGCUAGCUACAGGCUUAACACAUGCAAGUCGAGGGGUAACGAGAGGUAAGCUUGCUUUCCUUGUCGACGACCGGCGGAUGGGUGAGUAACGCGUAUCCAACCUGCCCUUCAGUAAGGGAUAGCCUUUCGAAAGCAAGAAUAGUACCUUAUGUGAUCGCUUGAUUCCAUCAGCCGAUGAUCAAAGAUUUAUCGCUGAAGGAUGGUGAUGCGUCCCAAUAGGCAGUAGGCGAUGUAACGGCCCACCUAACCUACGAUAGGUAGGGGUUCUGAGAGGAAGGUCCCCCACAUUGGAACUGAGACACGGUCCAAACUCCUACGGGAGGCAGCAGUGAGGAAUAUUGGUCAAUGGCCGUAAGGCUGAACCAGCCAAGUAGCGUGCAGGAUGACGGCCCUAUGGGUUGUAAACUGCUUUUAAACGGGGAUAAAGUGAGCCACGUGUGGUUUAUUGCAGGUACCGUUUGAAUAAGGACCGGCUAAUUCCGUGCCAGCAGCAGCCGCAG